CGAGUGAUGAUUUAGCCUAUCAUUUUAUACAGUUAUCCCUGUCUGAAACCAUUUGUGUGGAUAAAGCCUACCUUCUGAUCG
rnacentral:snoRNA from 1 species